UUAUAAACAGUGCUGCAAUAAACAUAGUAAAAUUGAACGCUGUAGAGAUCAGCAUGGCCCCUGAGCAAGGCCGACUCGCAGACUGGUGCAGUCUUCCAUAUUUUU